rnacentral:pre_miRNA from 1 species
CAAAUACUCCCUCCGUCCGGAAAUACUUGUCAUCAAAAUGGACAAAAGGAAAUGUAUCUAGAUGUAUUUUAGUUUUAGAUACAUCUCUUUUUAUCCAUUUUGAUGACUAGUAUUUUCGGAUGGAGGGAGUAUAAA